UGGUGGAGUGAUUUGUCUGGUUAAUUCCGUUAACGAACGAGACCUUAACCUGCUAAAUAGUUACGUUAACUUUGGUUGACGGCUAACUUCUUAGAGGGACUAUGGAUGUUUAAUCCAUGGAAGUUUGAGGCAAUAACA
rnacentral:rRNA from 1 species